CGGCGGACGGGUGAGUAACACGUAGGUAACCUACCUAUAAGACUGGGAUAACUUCGGGAAACCGGAGCUAAUACCGGAUAAUAUUUCGAACCGCAUGGUUCGAUAGUGAAAGAUGGCUUUGCUAUCACUUACAGAUGGACCUGCGCCGUAUUAGCUAGUUGGUAAGGUAACGGCUUACCAAGGCAACGAUACGUAGCCGACCUGAGAGGGUGAUCGGCCACACUGGAACUGAGACACGGUCCAG
rnacentral:rRNA from 1 species